rnacentral:rRNA from 1 species
UACGUAGGGCGCAAGCGUUGUCCGGAAUUAUUGGGCGUAAAGAGCUCGUAGGCGGUUUGUCGCGUCUGCUGUGAAAACCUAAGGCUCAACCUUGGGCUUGCAGUGGGUACGGGCAGACUAGAGUGCGGUAGGGGUGACUGGAAUUCCUGGUGUAGCGGUGGAAUGCGCAGAUAUCGAGGAGGAACACCGAGUGGCGAAGGCAGGUCACUGGGCCGCAACUGACG